CAAGUACUCUAUCUGUUCCGAAUUACUUGUCGCAGGUAUGAAUGUAUCUAGAUGUAUUUUAGUUUUAGAUACAUCUAUUUCUGCGACGAGUAAUGUGGAACGGAGGAAGUAAAUC
rnacentral:pre_miRNA from 1 species